GGCCGUGACGUGGCGUUGCGGGAUGCUGCGGGCGCUGCCGCUGCUGCUGCUGGUGUCGGUGCUGGCGGCAGGGCUCGGCCCAGGACCCCCCCGGCACCGCGGGGCUGAGCUGCGGGACCUGGCCCGGGGCAAGGUGGAGGUGAGCACGGGGCUGGGCGGAGGGUGCGGGAACACCGCGGGACGCCGGCGGCGGUGACGGGGUGUCUCGUCCCGCAGACCUGCGGCGGGUGACGGCUGAACCGCCUGAGGGAGCGCACCACCCAGCCAUAACCUAGAGAUGAAGCAUCUGCCUGGUGCUGACCCUGAGCUUGUGCUCCUCAGCCACCGAUACGAGGAGCUGGAGAGAAUCCCCCUAAGCGACAUGACCCGGGAGGAGAUCAAUCAGCUGGUGCAGGAGCUGGGUUUCUACCGCAAGGAGACGCCUGAUGCCCCUGUGCCCGAGGAGUUCCAGUUUGCACCUGCCAGGCCUCUGCCCCCACUGCCACCUCCCCAAACUCCCACUGCUGAUGGCCACACCCCAGCCAAACACAACGAGGGAGAACACCCAGACCUCUAAUGAGGGGUGCUGCAGCCAGGAGAAGGUCCUGCAGCCAGUCCCUGGUGUGCAGGGAUAAGGACAUCACAGCAGCUGGGGAUGGUGCUGCGGAGUGGCAGAGGUGCUCCUGUUGUUGCUUGGUGCUGUGUAGCCUCUGUCCCAAGGAUGCCCUGAGCUGCCCCAGCCUUUAUCAGGGGUUUCAUGGGCAUUGUGGCCCUCUCAGGGGUGUGCAACAAGCACACAGGACUUGUUGCACACACCUUCCCCUGCAGCCCAGCAUUCCCAGACGGUCAGAUGUUCUUUGUGCUCCCUCUCAGUGCCCUGAGAUUUAGCUGACGCCUGGCGUUGGGCAGCGAUAUCCUACCUGCGUGGGACAGGAUGAAACCCUCAGCAGAAAGCCUCACGUGCUGAGGGUUGAUGUGUUGAGUCCUGGAGGUGGGAAAGCUGCCCCCAGAGGGGUUAUGGCUUUAUGCCCCAGCAGGAUUGUCUCAUAUCAAGCCCCCAGUAAAGCCCUUGCAUAC
rnacentral:lncRNA from 1 species